UGCUCAGCUUCUUCUUGAGGC
rnacentral:misc_RNA from 1 species